GUGGAUUCAGCAUGUUAGACUGGUACCAGGUUAGAAGCAUUGGCCUGCUGAAUUUGAGGAAGCUUGGGGACCCCAGUUCAUAUGCUGACAGUGACAUAUAUCUAUUCUAAGCCUGCACGUUUGAACAGUUCCCAAUGUGUAGUGCCAAAAUUAGUCCAAAGGGCCUGUCCCGUUCGAGUGCUUCACUUGAUAGGAAGGCUAAGCUCCUGCCUUAGGGAAACUUGAAAAACAGGUUCCUAGGAAGCCAUCCUGGCCAACGUACAUAAGUGAUUGGAGGUGGAGGGUCUUAUGCACCUUGAUGGACAGAUUCUUGUGUUUUCAGAGCAUUUGCCUCCUGGAACAGUGGAAUCUCCCAUCCUGCUGAGAGACUGUUCCCAAGAUCGAGGAGAAAGUUCUGUUGGUGACUUGGUGUGACAAAGUUGACCUCUGGCUCCUAUUUUGUCUCCUACGAAAGGCAACUUCAUUUGGGAAAGGGGCGAGGCGGACUGUUGAAAGACUAAGAUCAGCAAGCUCAUGAGAGCGGUGUGAGCUCCCUGUGUGAAGGGUUUCCAGUUUGUGGGUGAAACACUGGAAAGCUGAAAAGCAGAUAAAAUUCCAAGAAAGGGAACUGUUCUGCAAGUCACUAAGAAGCAAAUGGUUCAAAAGCAGAUGAAUAUCUGUGGAGAAAGGGACGACCAGGGCUGAGGUGGCCAUUGUGAGCCAAAGAGCUAAAGUGGUAAGCUAAUGGAAACUAGCCUCUCCAACACACCCCGGAGAGGUAGAGUGAGCACUAAGUAACCAAGCCACAAGUCAACCCUUGGUGGAAGAAUCAGGCUGGGUCUUUGCUGUGGAGAUGAGGGGGCUUAUUCAUGCUAACAAGUUUGAAGCCAUUUGCAAAAGAAACUGACCUAAACAAGGAAAGAGUGCGUAUCAAAGUUUAGAUGACGGGAAACCUAGGAAGGGUGACAUUUAGGAUCCAAGGAGAUCAAGUCAUAAGAAAAGGAGAUUGGCAACAGUAUUUAUCAGGAAGAUUGAAGAUCAGAGUACUGUGUACCUCAUUAAAAGUACUGAGUGUUAGGAGUCCAUAUAGUUCCAGUGUGGGCCCAGGUUAGAAUACUGCAGGUUUUCCUCCACCCCCAUCCCUCUCAGUGAUCCUGACCAAUGACAGUACUCUGUAAAAGGACAACCAAGGCCUACACUGUUGAGGGAAAGCAGUGACGUGGCUGAACAGGCUGGGCUCAGGACAGCACUUCAGCACGGUGUGGGCUUGUUCAACAAGUGCUGCUCCAGCCCACCAGCCAGGCCAGCUGUGCCCAAGAACGUAAUAAAAGAUGCAUUUCUGCCUCUUGUCAGUUUCAGUGAAUAUUUAGCUUCUGUCAGGUACAGAAGGCCAAUGCCUUAGGCUUUUCUCAAGAAGCUAGGCUAGGGCUCCAUGGUGGUGCCCACCCUAAAUCCUAGCACUUAUUGACAGGCAAAUCUCUGAGUCCAUGGUCAGCCUGGCCUACAUAGCAAGUUCUAGGCCCACAAGACCUUGUCUUGGAGUGGGGCAGGGGAAGCUGAUUAUGAGAUAGGAAAUCAAUAACAAAUGAGGCAAGUGCUAUAGGAAAAAUGGGUACUGUGUACUGUCACCUCCACCCCCAAAGAAAGACUGGGAUAGCAGUAAUUGAAGGUGAGUCGCUGGCAUGAAGAUGACGACCCUUCAGUAAAGCGUCUUGCUAAAAUGUGAGCACUGAAAUGCUAGAGCUGUUGAACAGGUCUGUGAAUGACCUCACACCUGCUAACCUUGCAAAGCAGGUCCUUUUCCUUGACCCUUUUAUAGAUUGAGGAGAGUGGAUGCUGAAUGUUGCCUGCUAGUGUGAGAUUACCAUCCAAAAUCCCGUCCUUAGGACACUCUUACCUCUCCUGUGUAUUUGCCAGUCAAAGUUGGUUAGGGUAUUCUAGAGGGAUAGAAGGUGACAUACUGUGGAGGACAGUGGACAGAACUCACUAAAUUUCAGGCCAAGCAGGGCUACAUUGUGAGCCCAUGUCUUUAAAAAGAAAAAAAAAAAAAAAAAGAAUGGAUCCUGAGCCAUAUAUAGCCCAGGGGUAGAGCAUCCAAUUAGCAUUCACGAGGCCCAGGGUUCUACUCUCCACAUCAGCAGCCCAGCUAGAGAAAAACAUUAAGGGGUUGUGAUUCCUGGAGUCUAGGCCAGAAAUAAAGCUGUAAAGAUAAGUAGAGCCAAAUGGUAAAGGCUCCAACAAGGCCUGCUUCCUCUAGAGGAACUCCCCACCUAAGAGAAACUAAAAGUAGUUUGGAGCCUGAGCUGAAGUGGGAGGCCAUGGAAGGUAGGAAUGCCAUCUGGCAGCAGAUCUGGGUGGAAGAGCUGCAGCGUGUGCCGAGACCGUAACCCGGGGAGAAGAGAUGAAUCGGUGAAGCCUCAUGAAGGUUUGGUGACCCCCUGGGAGAGUUUCCCCAAAAGGACAAGUGUCAACUGUGUCUUCUCAAUGUUACCAGGUCCUCUGCAUCAGAGGGGUCAAGCAUUCUGUUAGUCAUGGCCAAAGCCCCACUCACACAGACUGACACUAAAUCUCAGUGCUUUUUGAAGAUUCCAGCAGCAAGCAGCUGAAAGUACGUGUUAAUAAAAUUAUGAAAUCAGUGA
rnacentral:lncRNA from 1 species